rnacentral:piRNA from 1 species
UCCUGUGCUUUCCAAAUAAAUUAACCAG